rnacentral:rRNA from 1 species
GUAAGCGCGCGCAGGCGGCCUUUUAAGUUGGAUGUGAAAGCCUAUGGCUCAACCAUAGAACUGCAUCCAAAACUAUCAGGCUAGAGUGUGGGAGAGGAAGAUGGAAUUAGUUGUGUAGGGGUAAAAUCCGUAGAGAUAACUAGGAAUACCAAAAGCGAAGGCAAUCUUCUGGAACAUUACUGACGCUGAGGCGCGAAAGCGUGGGGAGCAAACAGGAUUAGAUACCCUGGUAGUCCACGCCCUAAACGAUGAAUGUUAGUCGUCGGGUAGCUAGUCUAUUCGGUGAUGCAGCUAACGCAUUAAACAUUCCGCCUGGGGAGUACGGUCGCAAGAUUAAAACUCAAAGGAAUAGACGGGGACCCGCACAAGUGGUGGAGCAUGUGGUUUAAUUCGAAGAUACGCGAAGAACCUUACCUAGCCUUGACAUAUUUUAGAACACUUUAGAGAUAGAGUGGUGCCUUCGGGAGCUAAUAUACAGGUGCUGCACGGCUGUCGUCAGCUCGUGUCGUGAGAUGUUGGGUUAAGUCCCGCAACGAGCGCAACCCUCGUCACUAGUUACUAACGGUUCGGCCGAGGACUCUAGUGAGACUGCCUUCGCAAGGAGGAGGAAGGUGAGGACGACGUCAAGUCAUCAUGGCCCUUACGGCUAGGG